GAUGAACGCUGGCGGCGUGCCUAAUACAUGCAAGUCGAGCGAACAGACGAGGAGCUUGCUCCUCUGACGUUAGCGGCGGACGGGUGAGUAACACGUGGAUAACCUACCUAUAAGACUGGGAUAACUUCGGGAAACCGGAGCUAAUACCGGAUAAUAUAUUGAACCGCAUGGUUCAAUAGUGAAAGACGGUUUUGCUGUCACUUAUAGAUGGAUCCGCGCCGCAUUAGCUAGUUGGUAAGGUAACGGCUUACCAAGGCAACGAUGCGUAGCCGACCUGAGAGGGUGAUCGGCCACACUGGAACUGAGACACGGUCCAGACGCCUACGGGAGGCAGCAGUAGGGAAUCUUCCGCAAUGGGCGAAAGCCUGACGGAGCAACGCCGCGUGAGUGAUGAAGGGCUUCGGAUCGUAAAACUCUGUUAUUAGGAAGAACAAAUGUGUAAGUAACUAUGCACGUCUUGACGGUACCUAAUCAGAAAGCCACGGCUAACUACGUG
rnacentral:rRNA from 1 species